GAAAUUGUCCCGGGUAGGUCCACUAAGGUGGUAAAAUUUUGUACCAAAAGGUUUUAGGGUGCUGAUUUCUCAUCCACAUCACCCCCUCCUUGAUUCUGCAGUGAAUCCUUUGCUCUUGCAGAACUACUAUUUUUUGUCUUUUUAGGUCAAUCCAUUUACACUAGAGGGGCUCUUUCUUUCCUUUCUCCUCAGAAAGAUUUACGUACUUUCUGCAACAUAAUUUACAAGGACGAACUCCUUUUGCAUAUACAUCAAUGCAGAGAAUUUAAUAAAGUCUCUUCGGUGAACUAC
rnacentral:misc_RNA from 1 species